rnacentral:rRNA from 1 species
UAGAGGGUAGCAAUAUUCUCUAGUCGGAGUGGCGCAAGGGUGCGUAACACGUGGGUAAUCUGCCGUGAAGCCUGGGAUAACUCGCUGAAAGACGAGCUAAUACCGGAUGUGACUGUGAGGGGGCAUCUCCUGACAUUCAAAGCUGGGGACCUGCAAAGGCCUGGCCCUUCACGAUGAGCCCGCGGCCUAUCAGCUAGUUGGUGAGGUAACGGCCCACCAAGGCGAAGACGGGUAGCUGGUCUGAGAGGACGACCAGCCACACUGGAACUGAGACACGGUCCAGACACCUACGGGUGGCAGCAGUCGAGAAUUUUUCACAAUGGGCGCAAGCCUGAUGGAGCGACGCCGCGUGGGGGAUGAAGGGUUUCGAUCCGUAAACCCCUGUCAUUUGCGAACAAUGGUUGUUCAAUAACACUGGACAACUUGAUAGUAGCGGAAGAGGAAGGGACGGCUAACUCUGUGCCAGCAGCCGCGGUAAUACAGAGGUCCCAAGCGUUGUUCGGAUUCACUGGGCGUAAAGGGUGCGUAGGUGGCCAGGUAAGUUCGGUGUGAAAGCUCGGAGCUCAACUCCGAAAAGUCAUUGAAUACUAUCUGGCUGGAGGGUCGGAGGGGAGACUGGAAUUCUCGGUGUAGCA